AGGAGAUCUAUUUCCUUUUACAUCUGAUGGAAAGAGCAAAUCCAAGCCCUAAAUGACACUAACAGGAUUUUCAUAAUCUGUGACAAAACACGCCAGCAGUACCAGCAGAGCUCACUUCCAGCUGUCUCCUCCCCUGGACUGGGAACCCCGAAUCCAGGACUCAUUUGAACAACACAGCUCCCAUUGCCUGCACGGGGAAACUGAGGCAUAGCUAGGGGCCAGGACAACCCCAAGGUCAUAUGGCAAAGUUGGAACUAGAACAAAGACUCCUGACUCCCAAGCCUGGGCCUGUCUCUGUGUGCCCACUCCUGCACGUUUACACACAUCACACACUAAACACACACACACACCAUGCAGGAAAUGUUCUCCAAACUCAGAUGGGUAAAUGCCUGGGUACGUGCGACAUCCCACAGUCACACAUUCCCUCCCGUAGACGUACACUUGCCUGGACAGAAGUGUGCAGACAUCCGCACAGCGCCCCCCAGACACCCAAAUGCAGACACAAACACGUUUGUGUUCACACACGCAGGCACUCACACACGCAUAUCUGAUCACCGCAAAUCGAAAUACUCAAACCCACAGAGACACCUACACAGGACAUACGCACACACAAAUAUCCACAGAUAGACGCAAGAGUCAAAAGUGCCCCUCAAUGCACAUCCACAGACACACCACUCACCAUUCACAGACACGCACGUGUACAGCACUCUCACAGCCCCGUGAGGCCCACAGGCCGACACUCAGCUAAACAGCCACGUCUCCUCUCUCACAGCCAUGCCGUGCUGGCACCAGGGUCAGGCUAGAGUGUCCUGGUGACCCUGUCAUGCCUCUGCAAGGUAGCCUGGGAAUCUGAGACAGGCAAGGUGACACCUCCUGUGGGAGGCCAAGGACACCACGCGCUAUCCGACGAGCCACAGUGGAUCCAUAGCACAGCUCAGAGGGCCAGGAGCUGCCCGGGACCCAGCCCUAGCUGCCCACACUCUCCUCACCUCAGCACAAGCGUGUGAGUGGGUGUCUUCAUCUUCCUCUAUUUUGUAUGUAGGACACCGCUACAGCACAGCUUGAUGAGCCAUGUGUAGGUCCACGCCCGGAAUCCGAACCCGUGAACCCUGAGCCGCUGAAGCAAAGCCCGCAG
rnacentral:lncRNA from 1 species